rnacentral:antisense_RNA from 1 species
UGUAGGAGCGAGCCUGCUCGCGAUGAGGGUAUCAGCUUCAACAUCCAUGUUGGCUGAGCCACCAUCGCGAGCAGGCUCGCUCCUACA